AGUAUGUUUCUAAAUGCUGCGGAAUUGCUGCAAUAUGUUGAAGAAAAUAAUUUGUGGGGCGUGAAUGGUGAACAAGAAAAAAUUGAUAGACUUUCUGAAUUGUUGAGAGAGAUUGGAAGAAAUGAUCUUGCAAGGAUGGUUGAAAACGAUAAUCGUUAAUCCACCCCCCUUUUGUCGCAAACACAUUGAAGAUGAACGUUGAUU